AAAUUGAAGAGUUUGAUCAUGGCUCAGAUUGAACGCUGGCGGCAGGCCUAACACAUGCAAGUCGAACGGUAACAGGAAGCAGCUUGCUGCUUCGCUGACGAGUGGCGGACGGGUGAGUAAUGUCUGGGAAACUGCCUGAUGGAGGGGGAUAACUACUGGAAACGGUGGCUAAUACCGCAUAACGUCGCAAGACCAAAGAGGGGGACCUUCGGGCCUCUUGCCAUCAGAUGUGCCCAGAUGG
rnacentral:rRNA from 7 species